UACGUAGGGGGCGAGCGUUGUCCGGAUUCAUUGGGCGUAAAGCGCGCGUAGGCGGCCGGGCAAGUCGGCCGUGAAAUCUCCCAGCUUAACUGGGAGGGGUCGGGCGAGACUGCCCCGCUAGAGGCGGGUAGAGGGCAGUGGAAUUCCGGGUGUAGUGGUGGAAUGCGUAGAGAUCCGGAGGAACACCAGUGGCGAAGGCGGCGCCCUGGACCAGCACUGACACUGAGGCACGAAGGCGUGGGGAGCGAACGGG
rnacentral:rRNA from 1 species